UACGUAGGGUGCGAGCGUUGUCCGGAAUUACUGGGCGUAAAGAGCUCGUAGGUGGUUUGUCGCGUUGUUCGUGAAAUCCCACGGCUUAACUGUGGGCGUGCGGGCGAUACGGGCAGACUGGAGUACUGCAGGGGAGACUGGAAUUCCUGGUGUAGCGGUGGAAUGCGCAGAUAUCAGGAGGAACACCGGUGGCGAAGGCGGGUCUCUGGGCAGUAACUGACGCUGAGGAGCGAAAGUGUGGGGAGCGAACAGG
rnacentral:rRNA from 1 species